rnacentral:rRNA from 1 species
GGGUUGUGAGGUUAAGCGACUAAGCGUACACGGUGGAUGCCCUGGCAGUCAGAGGCGAUGAAGGACGUGCUAAUCUGCGAAAAGCGUCGGUAAGGUGAUAUGAACCGUUAUAACCGGCGAUGUCCGAAUGGGGAAACCCAGUGCAAUUCGUUGCACUAUCGUUAACUGAAUACAUAGGUUAACGAGGCGAACCGGGGGAACUGAAACAUCUAAGUACCCCGAGGAAAAGAAAUCAACCGAGAUUCCCCCAGUAGCGGCGAGCGAACGGGGAGCAGCCCAGAGUCUGAAUCAGCUUGUGUGUUAGUGGAACGGUCUGGAAAGUCCGACGGUACAGGGUGAUAGUCCCGUACACCAAAAUGCACAGGCUGUGAACUCGAAGAGUAGGGCGGGACACGUGGUAUCCUGUCUGAAUAUGGGGGGACCAUCCUCCAAGGCUAAAUACUCCUGACUGACCGAUAGUGAACCAGUACCGUGAGGGAAAGGCGAAAAGAACCCCGGCGAGGGGUGAAAAGAACCUGAAACCGUGUACGUACAAGCAGUGGGAGCACCUUCGGGUGUGACUGCGUACCUUUGUAUAAUGGGUCAGCGACUUAUAUUCUGUAGCAAGGUUAACCGUAUAGGGAGCCGCAGGGAAACCGAGUCUUAACUGGGCGUUAAGUUGCAGGGUAUAGACCCGAAACCCGGUGAUCUAGCCAUGGGCAGGUUGAAGGUUGGGUAACACUAACUGGAGGACCGAACCGACUAAUGUUGAAAAAUUAGCGGAUGACUUGUGGCUGGGGGUGAAAGGCCAAUCAAACCGGGAGAUAGCUGGUUCUCCCCGAAAGCUAUUUAGGUAGCGCCUCGUGAACUCAUCUUCGGGGGUAGAGCACUGUUUCGGCUAGGGGGUCAUCCCGACUUACCAACCCGAUGCAAACUACGAAUACCGAAGAAUGUUAUCACGGGAGACACACGGCGGGUGCUAACGUCCGUCGUGAAGAGGAAACAACCCAGACCGCCAGCUAAGGUCCCAAAGUCAUGGUUAAGUGGGAAACGAUGUGGGAAGGCACAGACAGCGGAUGUUGGCUUAGAAGCAGCCAUCAUUUAAAGAAAGCGUAAUAGCUCACUGGUCGAGUCGGCCUGCGCGGAAGAUGUAACGGGGCUAAACCAUGCACCGAAGCUGCGGCAGCGACACUAUGUGUUGUUGGGUAGGGGAGCGUUCUGUAAGCCUGCGAAGGUGUGCUGUGAGGCAUGCUGGAGGUAUCAGAAGUGCGAAUGCUGACAUAAGUAACGAUAAAGCGGGUGAAAAGCCCGCUCGCCGGAAGACCAAGGGUUCCUGUCCAACGUUAAUCGGGGCAGGGUGAGUCGACCCCUAAGGCGAGGCCGAAAGGCGUAGUCGAUGGGAAACAGGUUAAUAUUCCUGUACUUGGUGUUACUGCGAAGGGGGGACGGAGAAGGCUAUGUUAGCCGGGCGACGGUUGUCCCGGUUUAAGCAUGUAGGCUGAUUGUCCAGGCAAAUCCGGAUAAUCAAGGCUGAGGUGUGAUGACGAGGCACUACGGUGCUGAAGUAACAAAUGCCCUGCUUCCAGGAAAAGCCUCUAAGCAUCAGGUAACAUCAAAUCGUACCCCAAACCGACACAGGUGGUCAGGUAGAGAAUACCAAGGCGCUUGAGAGAACUCGGGUGAAGGAACUAGGCAAAAUGGUGCCGUAACUUCGGGAGAAGGCACGCUGGUGUGUAGGUGAAGUCCCUGCGGAUGGAGCUGAGACCAGUCGAAGAUACCAGCUGGCUGCAACUGUUUAUUAAAAACACAGCACUGUGCAAACACGAAAGUGGACGUAUACGGUGUGACGCCUGCCCGGUGCCGGAAGGUUAAUUGAUGGGGUUAUCCGUAAGGAGAAGCUCUUGAUCGAAGCCCCGGUAAACGGCGGCCGUAACUAUAACGGUCCUAAGGUAGCGAAAUUCCUUGUCGGGUAAGUUCCGACCUGCACGAAUGGCGUAAUGAUGGCGGGCUGUCUCCACCCGAGACUCAGUGAAAUUGAACUCGCUGUGAAGAUGCAGUGUACCCGCGGCAAGACGGAAAGACCCCGUGAACCUUUACUAUAGCUUGACACUGAACAUUGAGCCUUGAUGUGUAGGAUAGGUGGGAGGCUUUGAAGCGUGGACGCCAGUCUGCGUGGAGCCAACCUUGAAAUACCACCCUUUAAUGUUUGAUGUUCUAACGUUGGCCCCUGACCGGGGUUGCGGACAGUGUCUGGUGGGUAGUUUGACUGGGGCGGUCUCCUCCCAAAGCGUAACGGAGGAGCACGAAGGUUAGCUAAUCCUGGUCGGACAUCAGGAGGUUAGUGCAAUGGCAUAAGCUAGCUUGACUGCGAGCGUGACGGCGCGAGCAGGUGCGAAAGCAGGUCAUAGUGAUCCGGUGGUUCUGAAUGGAAGGGCCAUCGCUCAACGGAUAAAAGGUACUCCGGGGAUAACAGGCUGAUACCGCCCAAGAGUUCAUAUCGACGGCGGUGUUUGGCACCUCGAUGUCGGCUCAUCACAUCCACGGGGCUGAAGUAGGUCCCAAGGGUAUGGCUGUUCGCCAUUUAAAGUGGUACGCGAGCUGGGUUUAGAACGUCGUGAGACAGUUCGGUCCCUAUCUGCCGUGGGCGCUGGAGAAUUGAGGGGGGCUGCUCCUAGUACGAGAGGACCGGAGUGGACGCAUCACUGGUGUUCGGGUUGUCAUGCCAAUGGCACUGCCCGGUAGCUAAAUGCGGAAGAGAUAAGUGCUGAAAGCAUCUAAGCACGAAACUUGCCCCGAGAUGAGUUCUCCCUGAGACUUUAAGUCUCCUGAAGGAACGUUAAAGACGAUGACGUUGAUAGGCCGGGUGUGUAAGCGCAGCGAUGCGUUGAGCUAACCGGUACUAAUGAACCGUGAGGCUUAACCUUACAACGCCGAAG